rnacentral:snRNA from 1 species
GCGUAUGAGGAGCCAUGCAU